CGGAGGACUUCUGCAAAAACGGGAACAGCUUGCAGAGAACUACGCCAAAGUCAUUGUGUUCAAAGGGCCAGCGCCCAGCCAGCAGCUGAAACAAGGAGACAUGGUGAUGUUAAUAUCCCUUGCUACUUAAUCUCGUUACUUGGACAUCAUUUUUGUUAUUGUCAUGGCAUCUUAAAACGGAACAAAUAAAACUAGUGGCACAGUU